rnacentral:rRNA from 1 species
UGCAGUCGAACGGUGACCUCGGUGCUUGCACCGGGUGAUCAGUGGCGAACGGGUGAGUAACACGUGAGCAACCUACCCCUGACUCUGGGAUAACUCCGAGAAAUCGGUGCUAAUACCGGAUACGAGACGCACAGGCAUCUGUAGCGUCUGGAAAGAAUUUUGGUCAGGGAUGGGCUCGCGGCCUAUCAGCUUGUUGGUGGGGUAACGGCCCACCAAGGCGACGACGGGUAGCCGGCCUGAGAGGGCGACCGGCCACACUGGGACUGAGACACGGCCCAGACUCCUACGGGAGGCAGCAGUGGGGAAUAUUGCACAAUGGGCGAAAGCCUGAUGCAGCGACGCCGCGUGGGGGAUGAAGGCCUUCGGGUUGUAAACCCCUUUCAGCAGGGAAGAAGCGAAAGUGACGGUACCUGCAGAAGAAGCGCCGGCUAACUACGUGCCAGCAGCCGCGGUAAUACGUAGGGCGCAAGCGUUGUCCGGAAUUAUUGGGCGUAAAGAGCUCGUAGGCGGUUUGUCGCGUCUGCUGUGAAAACCCGAGGCUCAACCUCGGGCCUGCAGUGGGUACGGGCAGACUAGAGUGCGG